UCAGGCCUUGUCUACACUACAAAGUUUUGUCAGCAAAAGUUAUGCCACUUUAAUAAAAGCACUUUAAUUAAAACCGCUGUUGCAUGUCCACACUAGCUCACGUCAGCAGAGUGCAUCUACACUAGCAACUCUUGUAUCAACACAGAGCAGUGCACUGUGGGUAAUAUCCCACUGUGCAGCUGGCCGCAGGGUGCUUUGGGAAGGGUUUGCAAUGCCUCAUGGGGCAGGUACAGCAUCACAUGAUGCAGGUUUCUCAAUCCCAUCAUUCCAGGGGCAUCCUAGUAGAUUGUCAGGUGCUUUUUCAACUGAGGAGGGAGAGGGGAGUGGUGUAUCUGGAGCGGGGGAGACAGCAGGCUGACCGACCUAUCCUGAAGCAGAGGGAGGGGGGACACCCCCCCCCCAUGUCAGCCCCCAGCUCUGCUCAGCACGGCAGUCUCUCCCGAAUCAGCCCACUCUGCCUGCGGUACUGUGAUUCCUUCCGAGUUCCGGGAGCAGCAUCCUGAGCAGCUCUGUGAGCUCUCUGUGCUGAGGAAUGUCAAAGCAGCAUAGCAGUCGUGUCGUCUGUCCCCCAGCAAGCCACCAGUGUUCCUAGAACAGGAUCGGUUUACCGGAGGAAGCUGCUAGCUAGUGGAACAGAUAAAAGCAUGAAAGCCUCAAGGACCACCUCCCAAAUUGCCUGUUCAAUAGUGCAGUCCUGCUGCCAUGUCUCCUUCAAGCCCUCCCUGUGAACCCUGCACUGCACAAGUCCUCAAGCAAGCUGAUUCUCACCAAAUAAAUAUAGUCAUGUCUUUGAAAUAUUA